UUUCUCACUCUAUAAAACAUCAGGAUUACAAAGAUACCUUCACAAAUGUAGUUUUAUAACGGCCACUUUUAAGGGGACACCUCUGUUUCCUCCCUGUUACUGAACAGGUGAUCAGUUACCAACUUGUUACGACAGGAAAACUGUGGCGACCAUCUGCACCCAGGGUGUUCGAAGCACUUCGUGAUGAGUGCCCUGCACAGAUCUUUGAUUGGCUUUCUGAUUAUUUCCUUGGAAUAAAGUCUUAAAAGUGAAAGUACUGGGUCAAGGGUAUAAGUUGUAUGUUCUUAACGUGCCCUGCCGAAUAGCUUUCCGGAAAGAUGACCGUGUAGGCCCCUGCAGCAGACUGUAAAGGGAACUUUUCGCAAACUUGGAAAUACAGCAGGAUGAAGAACGGACGCCUUCCCAAGGCAGAAGCGGGUGCUAAUUAACCUCACUCAAGGACCACUUAUCUAGGGAAGGUGCCGCGUGCGGCUUUGCCGUUUACCAGAAGAGUAUUACCCUAAUGACUACAACUGUAUUGCCCUGUAGGGCACCUGUUGACAAAUUCAUUUCAACCUUCAUCUCCCUGACUGACACUCACUAUUCUCUAUUGAACCUUUCUGGUUCCUUCAAAAACCAAUGAGUUAAAGAAAGCUCUGACACGUGUUCAUUCCAUAUUUGUACGACUCGUGUUUUUUUUUUAAGAUUUUUUAAAGUUUUAUUUAUUUUUAGAGAGGGGACGGGAAGGAGAAAGAGAGUUAGAGAAACAUCCAUGUGUGGUUGCCUCUCACGUGGCCCCCACUGGGGACCUGGCCUGCAACCCAGGCAUGUGCCCCAACCGGGAACCAAACCCGAGACCCUCUGGUUUGCAGCCUAAACUCAAUCCACUGGGCUACACCAGCCAGGGGUGUGUGACUCAUGUUUUUUAACUUUUUGGCAAUUAUACUUGGAUAAUUUCCCUUAGUAAAAAUAAAACUCUGAGAGCACUGAAUGAGUUUUUAAUAGAAAAUGAGAGUUAAGAUAUGUAUAAAUAUUAGAUUAACAUUACAAUUGAACUGGAUUUCCUGAACCCGUAUCUGCCAGGAAUGAGCAGGGGAACCGAACCUGCGCUGGGGCAGAACUUUGGGUCUGAGGUGACUGCCAGUCCUCCCCAGGAAGUCCUAGGAAGGACCACUCCGGAUAAAAGACUUGAGCAGGUUUCUGACAAACUCAGAUGAGUUCAAGAGCUCCCGAGGCAUCGGGGCUGCCGACCCAGGUGACUGAGCGGCAGGCAGUAUCUGCAAGCCGGACCCCUUUCUUCCCUGCAAAGCCUCCGCCCAGAGAGAAAUAUUUCAAUUGGCUUGUUCAGGGACCACGACCCUCAUCACAAGAGUCAAUAAGCGUGUCCUUCAGUGAGGACUGAAAAAGAGUGCGGAUGGAGAAGAAACUGGGCGUCAGGUUGGGAACAGAAGAGAGGAGUGCCAUCCGUGGGAAGGAGCCGGAGCAGGCGUUGGAGAUGCGGGCGGGGCAGGAAGCUGCACAAAGGCCUGCACCGACUCCCCUUGGUUCCUUCGGGUCCCAGCUCUCGCCGGACUGAGUUCUCAAGACUGUUCAGGGUCUGGCACUGAGACCGGAAGUGAGCCCCAAAUAAUCUGAAGACAGCAAACGGCAGUUCCGUGGGUGCCUGCUAUUUCAGUUUGACGCAGGAUGCCUCAGAAAGAAUGACGGGCCAUCAUGCCUGGCAGGUCUCAGAUGUUCUGCACAUCAGAAGCCACUGGGAGGCCCGCAGUUGAAGGGGUGGCCGCCGGAGGAUGAUGUGGGUGGAGCAAGGAGGGAGGACCGGGUGGCGUAGGGGUUUUGUACUGAGGGCCAGUGAUGAUGUUUUGACAUUUAUUUCCUGCUACUGAAAUUUGAAUCUGAGUGAAUUGUCCCUAUUUCUGAUGAUGUCAGUAUUGCAGAGACAUAUUCAUAAUGAACAAAUCUUCCUUUCUUUCCACGUGUAUCUCUAAGAAACAGAUCCAGCUGAUUUUGCAUGUAAAUACCAAGAGCAAUUUACCUGGUACCAAACCCACACCCCAGCAUGGCCCCUCCGACCCUCACCCCACACCGCCCCCAAAUGCUCUGGAACCUCUCUCCGGUGGGUGAUCCCUGCCUGGUCCUGGCUGCAGUCAGCAGUCCCAGUGAGGGGUUUUGUGUGUUUAGGCCUCAUUUCUUUUGUCUUUUUCCUACUCUGUUCCCAGCUUUUGCCGAUUUCUAGUGUUUACUUCGUGUUUGAUUCCAUUCCAUGGAAAUAAAAAGUAUGUUGUAUAUACAAAAAAAAAAGCCCAAUGCCCAGCCCAUAGCCCAUCCCACUAUGCAGGAAUGGAGCGUGGGGUGCAGGCACCCACAUUUGUUUACAGAUGGCCAGGCGAGUCCUCCACACAGCCACAUCAGAGAACCAGGGAUCCAGCCCUGGCUCCUCAGACUUGAAGUGAAAGGCAUCACCAGGAAUCUUGCGAAAAUGUAAGUCUGAUUCGGCAGGCCUGCAGUGGGGGCCUCAUUCUGCAUUUCUCGCAAGCUCAAACAGGCUGCUGAGGCCGCUGGUCCAUGGACCCCUCUCUGAGCAGCAACAUUCUGGCCAACUCGCUACCUCCACUCAGCCUUGCCCGCCACACUGAUUUUCCAUUGGGGCUGCAGGAACCCCUGACCCAGGGCAAACAAGCGAUGUCCCCCUUCUGCCAGACAAGCCCAGGCCCUAACCCCGGAGUGCAUCUUGCCU